rnacentral:misc_RNA from 1 species
GGAUAGGGUAUUUUCAGUGGACGAUGACAUUGGCGACCAUUUUUGGUCGACGCCGCCGACGGCGGAGUUGGGCGUUGAUUCACCCACCUCUGCCGCCGCCGCCGCCGCCAUCUCCUACUCGAAGAUGAUGAAUCGCAGCUCUUCCGAAUGGGCUUUCCAGCGUUUCCUACUAGAAGCCGCCGGCGCCGCCGGUACGACCACUUCAUCUCCUCCUCAGCC